rnacentral:rRNA from 1 species
CCAGAGAACUUAGCAGAGAUGCUUUGGUGCCUUCGGGAACUCUGAGACAGGUGCUGCAUGGCUGUCGUCAGCUCGUGUUGUGAAAUGUUGGGUUAAGUCCCGCAACGAGCGCAACCCUUAUCCUUUGUUGCCAGCGAUUCGGUCGGGAACUCAAAGGAGACUGCCGGUGAUAAACCGGAGGAAGGUGGGGAUGACGUCAAGUCAUCAUGGCCCUUACGGCCAGGGCUACACACGUGCUACAAUGGCGCAUACAAAGAGAAGCGACCUCGCGAGAGCAAGCGGACCUCAUAAAGUGCGUCGUAGUCCGGAUUGGAGUCUGCAACUCGACUCCAUGAAGUCGGAAUCGCUAGUAAUCGUAGAUCAGAAUGCUACGGUGAAUACGUUCCCGGGCCUUGUACAUACCGCCCGUCACACCAUGGGAGUGGGUUGCAAAAGAAGUAGGUAGCUUAACCUUCGGGAGGGCGCUUACCACUUUGUGAUUCAUGACUGGGGUGAAGUCGUAACAAGGUAAGCGUAGUGCU